rnacentral:rRNA from 1 species
GACGAACGCUGGCGGCGUGCUUAACACAUGCAAGUCGAACGGAAGUAAAGAUUUCGGUUUUUACUUUAGUGGCGAACGGGUGAGUAACGCGUGAGGAACCUGCCUUUCAGUGGGGGACAACAGUUGGAAACGACUGCUAAUACCGCAUGAUACUAUUGGGCCGCAUGGUCUGGUAGUCAAAGAUUUAUUGCUGAAAGAUGGCCUCGCGUCUGAUUAGCUAGUUGGUGGGGUAACGGCCCACCAAGGCGACGAUCAGUAGCCGGACUGAGAGGUUGACCGGCCACAUUGGGACUGAGAUACGGCCCAG